GGCGCUCUGUCGAUCACUCUGUAUCUUACUAAUAGAUUAUGAAUUUGUGUUUUUGCAGGACGCUUGGAGCAUCACUUUAAUUGAUUCCGCACAAGGCAGUAACAGCAGAACUGCAUCGCUCUGCAUGUCAACAUCGCAACUGCUCUCAGAAUACAGGCUCAAUCGUGACAAGGUUGACUCGAGCGUGGUGUGGGCCCGCGUGGCUCCUGUGCACGUGUCUCUCCUGGAGUCUGCUGAACUUCUCUUCAAUGUGUCUGUUCCCUGGCUGCCCGUGGAACUGCCGUACAGAAGCAGAUGUAAGUAUUACAGAUGA
rnacentral:lncRNA from 1 species